rnacentral:rRNA from 1 species
CCCUACGGGGUGCAGCAGGACGUUCGUAUCGAAUAGGAUCAUUCCUCGCCGCGGGUGAGUCUCAUCGCAUCCUGGGUCUUCGUUCCGGGAAUCGCCGCACCUCGGGCGCGCUCCAACCAGAUUUCAACCGCAGGAGGCGUUGCCCGCCGCUGACGGAAUUCCUCAAGCCAGCUCGCGAGUUGAUCGACUUGCGUGCCGGGCAAUUUCCCAAUCGCGGCUUCGAUUUCGGAGACAUUGCUCAUAGUGGGAAUCUAGCAUAUCACAGUCUUCACGGGCGAGAUUUCGACAGGCACAUCUCGGGGAGUUUUUGGUGCAGGCCGGGACGGUGGAGAGC